rnacentral:misc_RNA from 1 species
GAGUGACGCUCAGAUACAAUAGUGC